rnacentral:rRNA from 1 species
CCUACGGGGGGCUGCAGUGGGGAAUAUUGGACAAUGGGCGAAAGCCUGAUCCAGCCAUGCCGCGUGUGUGAAGAAGGCCUUCGGGUUGUAAAGCACUUUCAGUGGGGAAGAAAGCCUUGGGGCUAAUACCCUCGAGGAAGGACAUCACCCACAGAAGAAGCACCGGCUAACUCCGUGCCAGCAGCCGCGGUAAUACGGAGGGUGCGAGCGUUAAUCGGAAUUACUGGGCGUAAAGCGCGCGUAGGCGGUCUGAUAAGCCGGUUGUGAAAGCCCCGGGCUCAACCUGGGAACGGCAUCCGGAACUGUCAGGCUAGAGUGCAGGAGAGGAAGGUAGAAUUCCCGGUGUAGCGGUGAAAUGCGUAGAGAUCGGGAGGAAUACCAGUGGCGAAGGCGGCCUUCUGGACUGACACUGACGCUGAGGUGCGAAAGCGUGGGUGGCAAACAGGAUUAGAUACCCCAGUAGUC